AUUGAACGCUGGCGGCAGGCCUAACACAUGCAAGUCGAGCGGAUGAAGGGAGCUUGCUCCUGGAUUCAGCGGCGGACGGGUGAGUAAUGCCUAGGAAUCUGCCUGGUAGUUGGGGAUAACGUCCGGAAACGGGCGCUAAUACCGCAUACGUCCUGAGGGAGAAAGUGGGGGAUCUUCGGACUUCACGCUAUCAGAUGAGCCUAGGUCGGAUUAGCUAGUUGGUGGGGUAAAGGCCUACCAAGGCGACGAUCCGUAACCGGUCUGAGAGGAUGAUCAGUCACACUGGAACUGAGACACGGUCCAGACUCCUACGGGAGGCAGCAGUGGGGAAUAUUGGACAAUGGGCGAAAGCCUGAUCCAGCCAUGCCGCGUGUGUGAAGAAGGUCUUCGGAUUGUAAAGCACUUUAAGUUGGGAGGAAGGGCAGUAAGUUAAUACCUUGCUGUUUUGACGUUACCAACAGAAUAAGCACCGGCUAACUUCGUG
rnacentral:rRNA from 1 species